CCUCCUGGGAAGUCCUCGUGUUGCACCCCUGCGCAGAGGUAUAAUGGGUGCGAUCAUACCAGCACUAAUGC
rnacentral:rRNA from 1 species